rnacentral:rRNA from 1 species
UUGAACGCUGGCGGCAGGCCUAACACAUGCAAGUCGAACGGUAGCACAGAGAGCUUGCUCUCGGGUGACGAGUGGCGGACGGGUGAGUAAUGUCUGGGAAACUGCCCGAUGGAGGGGGAUAACUACUGGAAACGGUAGCUAAUACCGCAUAAUGUCGCAAGACCAAAGAGGGGGACCUUCGGGCCUCUUGCCAUCGGAUGUGCCCAGAUGGGAUUAGCUUGUUGGUGAGGUAAUGGCUCACCAAGGCGACGAUCCCUAGCUGGUCUGAGAGGAUGACCAGCCACACUGGAACUGAGACACGGUCCAGACUCCUACGGGAGGCAGCAGUGGGGAAUAUUGCACAAUGGGCGCAAGCCUGAUGCAGCCAUGCCGCGUGUGUGAAGAAGGCCUUCGGGUUGUAAAGCACUUUCAGCGGGGAGGAAGGCGAUACGGUUAAUAACCGUGUUGAUUGACGUUACCCGCAGAAGAAGCACCGGCUAACUCCGUG